GAGGUACUCCCUCCGUUCCUAAUUACUUGUCGCGGGUAUGGAUGUAUCUAGAUGUAUUUUAGUUCUAGAUACAUCCAUUUCUGUGACGAGUAAUUUGGAAUGGAGGGAGUAGUAG
rnacentral:pre_miRNA from 1 species